GCGAGCAGGCCUGCGAGCUGCUAGGGUGCUAGAGAAGCCGGGGGCUCGGUUCUCUAGCCAUGGCACAAGUAGAGAAACGAGGAGGCUUGCUCCGGAAAUCCUCAGCCUCAAAGAAACCACUGAAGGAGAAAGUGGUGCUGAUGUAUGACGAGAUUUUCAUGGUAAGGCCGGGAGCCUGCUCUACUGCACAGCUAGAUCGAUUCUUUGCUUCUUUAAAAAAUGAAGUUGUGUUUGUUUAUCUCUGUGUGCACACAUAUGUGUUUGAGCAAGCGCAGAAGAACA
rnacentral:lncRNA from 1 species